CCAAACUUGGUCAUUUAGAGGAAGUAAAAGUCGUAACAAGGUUUCCGUAGGUGAACCUGCGGAAGGAUCAUUAUUGAAGACAAAAAAUGAAAUAGACUGUUGCUGGUUUUUUGGAGCAUGUGCACGUCUGUUUUAUUUUUAAAUCUUUUCCACCUGUGCACUACUGGUAGUGACACCUUUCAAACAUGUCCAAGUUUGGCUGAGAGAAACGAUGUGCCGUUUUCUUUCUUGAAAGUUGCUUUAAAAGUGGCGCUACUGUAUCUAUCACACAAAGUUCAGAAUGCUGAAAAAAAUAGAGACCUGUGUGUCUUUUAAAAUACUAAAUAACUUUCAACAACGGAUCUCUUGGCUCUCGCAUCGAUGAAGAACGCAGC
rnacentral:misc_RNA from 1 species